rnacentral:lncRNA from 1 species
GACUCUGCUCUUUCAGUUCUUCCUCUCUCUCCCAGUGGAACUUUCCAGAACUCCAGAACACAGCUGCGUUCCUGCUCUUGACUGUGACCUGCUGGAUUUUUGAGGACUCAGGUUCAGUCCAGAAAAUCAUCUCAGCUGUUUAAGGAGAAAAUGCUACUCUGACAUGUGAAGCUCUGAACAGCGAGACCAUCAGAGUGGACCAGACCGGGCCUGCAGAACCAGGAUGUUUUCUUAUUCAGAGACGGACACUCUGAGCCAGAUAAUCAUCCUUCUUAUGAGAACCGAGUGGAUCUGAAGGACAGAGAGAUGAAGGACGGAGACGUGAGUCUGAUCCUGAAGAACGUGACCUUCAAUGACCGUGGAACAUACAAGCGUUUCAUUGUCCAGAGAGGAGAAAAUAUCAAGAGGUUCACCAGCUUCUCUCUCAGUGGUUCCUCCAGAGAUGGAGACGUCCACUGGGAGACGGUUGACGGUCUGCAGGUCAAUGGUGAUGCGUCACGGUGAUGUCACUUCCCCCUCCCGUCAGGAGGACGCUUCCUGUCCAUCCCGGAGCUGA